rnacentral:rRNA from 1 species
UACGAAGGGGACUAGCAUUGUUCGGAAUUACUGGGCGUAAAGCGUGCGCAGGCGGUGAUGUAAGACAGGUGUGAAAUCCCCGGGCUUAACCUGGGAACUGCAUUUGUGACUGCAUCGCUGGAGUGCGGCAGAGGGGGAUGGAAUUCCGCGUGUAGCAGUGAAAUGCGUAGAUAUGCGGAGGAACACCGAUGGCGAAGGCAAUCCCCUGGGCCUGCACUGACGCUCAUGCACGAAAGCGUGGGGAGCAAACAGG